rnacentral:lncRNA from 1 species
CUGUCACAGAAGGUCAAGAGCCCUACUGCACAGGCUACCUGUUCAUUCUUCAGUGUUCUUCAGUCUAUACGUAGCUGCUUUCAAGCUGUUCCUGGUUUGUUUAUAAAGAGAGAAAGAGAGUUUCUUCAAUUUUUGGCUCCUUCAAUAAUACUGGUUGUUAGCACCUAAUAUU